UACGAAGGGGGCUAGCGUUGUUCGGAAUCACUGGGCGUAAAGCGCACGUAGGCGGCUUUCUAAGUCAGGGGUGAAAUCCUGGAGCUCAACUCCAGAACUGCCUUUGAUACUGGAGAGCUUGAGUCCGGAAGAGGUGAGUGGAACUCCGAGUGUAGAGGUGAAAUUCGUAGAUAUUCGGAAGAACACCAGUGGCGAAGGCGGCUCACUGGUCCGGUACUGACGCUGAGGUGCGAAAGCGUGGGGAGCGAACAGG
rnacentral:rRNA from 1 species